rnacentral:lncRNA from 12 species
CUGGGUGGCACAGCGGUUUGGUGCCUGCCUUUGGCCCAGGGCGCUAUCCUGGAGACCCGGGAUCGAAUCCCACAUCGGGCUCCCGGUGCAUGGAGCCUGCUUCUCCCUCUGCCUAUGUCUCUGCCUCUCUCUCUCUCUCUCUCUCUCUGUGUGUGUGACUAUAAUAAAUUAAAAAAAAAAAAAAGCAGUACGGUUGUCUGAAGGGCUGGAGGGGCUGUAAAAGUGAAGGGGAAUCCUGAAUGACUCCCGAGGCUCUGGCUUGAGAAAUGGGAAGGCUGACGUUACCGCAGACUGAGGAGAAAACCAAUGGACGGGCCGGGGCUGGGGUGGGGGGUCCCCGGGGAGUUCAGGCUGAACCUGUUAACGCCCAGGAGGUGAAUUAGGCAGUGGGACGGGUGGCCCCGCGUCAGGGCAGAGGUCCUCCUGUGGUCCCGGCGGAGGCCUGGGUGGAGGUCCUGGGCAGAGGCCUCAGUGUCCUCAGUGCAUGGGAAUAUUAAACCCGAAAGCACGUACUGUCAUCACCAAAGUGAAUAAUAACUGAAACGUGUAGGCGCUGCCACUCGGCUGCGGUCCCAGCUCCGCAGCAGCACCGCCCGGGAGCUUGGCGGACAAGCAGACUCUUGGGCAGCCCAUCCCCUGGGGCCAGAAACGGGCGGGCGGGUGCGGGUCCUUCGGGUCCCUCGGCACCAGGCGGGCUGGCGUCUCCUUGUCUGGAACUGCUGAAAACCAGUGGCUUAGGAACCGUGGAGGUAAGAGAGGUCUGCUCAGAACCCCGUAGAAGGCCAGAGGGACGCGGAGGCUGCAGCGUGCUGGAAACCAGCCCGUGGUGCCCGGUGCCCCGGACCAUGCCAGAGCCACGUGCUCCUGGCCUCCGCCGGCCUCGAACAGAAAGCUUUCUGAAAACCUUGAAGCUGGUGCAUUGGACCACACGCACAUGCACACGCACAUGCACACAUAGGAGGGAAAGUGAAUCAGAUGCCACCGUGGAAAGAUUCUGACCGUUGGAUGCAAAGACGGGCUCUGAACAGCCACAGCGCGGGCGGAAGGAAGGCCACUGGCCCCGCGAGUGGCCCAAAGGCGGCUUUGCACGAGGUCCCUGGACAGCAGCACUGCCUCCCUCUGAUUCUGACACAAGAAAUAGUUCAAGAAACAGCUGAAAGCAAGACCUUUUUACACACGGAUGGACUUCUGCCCCCAUUCACCACCUUUCCUGAGAGAUUAGGCACUCCUGGUACACCCAAGACCCGAGGCGGAGGACAUCAAGUCCAUUCUGUGGGCAGCGCCCCAUGAGUCAUGCUUGAUUGAGAGGGUUUCAGAGCAGCCACCACAGAAGACCAAAGAGCAUUUCCAAAUUUGGCAAGAACUUGAAGGUAUAGUAGGAAUGCACGAAGCACAAGUAUUUAAAACAUAUUAAAGAUACUCAGUCAUAGGCUCUGUGCUGGAGCGUCUGGCUUCAGCCCAGGGCAUGACCCCGGGGUCCUGGGAUCGAGUCCCACAUCGGGCUCCCUGCAUGAAGCCUGCGUCUCCCUCUGCCUGUGUCUCUGCCUCUCUCUCUCUCUCUGUCUCUCAAAAAUAAUAAAUAAAAUCUUAAAAAGAGAGAGAGAGAGACU